rnacentral:rRNA from 1 species
GGGCGAAGCCAGAGGAAACUCUGGUGGAGGCUCGAAGCGAUACUGACGUGCAAAUCGUUCGU